AGAGUUUGAUCCUGGCUCAGGACGAACGCUGGCGGCGUGCCUAACACAUGCAAGUCGAGCGGAGACAGUGAGUAGCUUGCUAUGAGCUGUUUUAGCGGCGGACGGGUGAGUAACGCGUGAGCAACCUUUCCCAGACAGGGGAAUAACACACCGAAAGGUGUACUAAUACCGCAUAAGACCACGGUUUCACAUGGAACUGAGGUAAAAGAAUUAUCGGUUUGGGGUGGGCUCGCGUCCGAUUAGGUAGUUGGUGAGGUAACGGCCCACCAAGCCGACGAUCGGUAGCCGACCUGAGAGGGUGAUCGGCCACAUUGGGACUGAGACACGGCCCAAACUCCUACGGGAGGCAGCAGUGGGGAAUAUUGGGCAAUGGGGGGAACCCUGACCCAGCAACGCCGCGUGGAGGAAGAAGGUUUUCGGAUCGUAAACUCCUGUCCUUGGAGACGAGUAGAAGACGGUAUCCAAGGAGGAAGCCCCGGCUAACUACGUGCCAGCAGCCGCGGUAAUACGUAGGGGGCAAGCGUUGUCCGGAAUAAUUGGGCGUAAAGGGCGCGUAGGCGGCUCGGUAAGUCUGGAGUGAAAGUCCUGCUUUUAAGGUGGGAAUUGCUUUGGAUACUGUCGGGCUUGAGUGCAGGAGAGGUUAGUGGAAUUCCCAGUGUAGCGGUGAAAUGCGUAGAGAUUGGGAGGAACACCAGUGGCGAAGGCGACUAACUGGACUGUAACUGACGCUGAGGCGCGAAAGUGUGGGGAGCAAACAGGAUUAGAUACCCUGGUAGUCCACACUGUAAACGAUGAAUGCUAGGUGUAGGGGGUAUCGACCCCUUCUGUGCCGCAGUCAACACAAUAAGCAUUCCGCCUGGGGAGUACGGCCGCAAGGUUGAAACUCAAAGGAAUUGACGGGGGCCCGCACAAGCAGCGGAGCAUGUGGUUUAAUUCGACGCAACGCGAAGAACCUUACCAAGGCUUGACAUCUACUUAAAGUCAUGGAAACAUGAUGUCUCUUCGGAGGAAGUAAGACAGGUGGUGCAUGGUUGUCGUCAGCUCGUGUCGUGAGAUGUUGGGUUAAGUCCCGCAA
rnacentral:rRNA from 1 species